UUUUUUAUCACCAUGAGUUUAUCUGCAUCUCUGCUGAUUGGGUAUCACCUGUGACACAGCUAAUAAACGAGAGACACACCCCCCCAAACGGGAG